UACGUAGGGUGCGAGCGUUAAUCGGAAUUACUGGGCGUAAAGCGUGCGCAGGCGGUUUGUAAGCCAGAUGUGAAAUCCCCGGGCUUAACCUGGGAAUGGCAUUUGGGACUGCAAGGCUUGAGUGCGGCAGAGGAGACUGGAAUUCCUGGUGUAGCAGUGAAAUGCGUAGAUAUCAGGAGGAACACCGAUGGCGAAGGCAGGUCUCUGGGCUGACACUGACGCUCAUGCACGAAAGCGUGGG
rnacentral:rRNA from 1 species